rnacentral:rRNA from 1 species
AUUGAACGCUGGCGGCAGGCCUAACACAUGCAAGUCGAGCGGAUGAAGAGAGCUUGCUCCUGGAUUCAGCGGCGGACGGGUGAGUAAUGCCUAGGAAUCUGCCUGGUAGUGGGGGAUAACGUCCGGAAACGGGCGCUAAUACCGCAUACGUCCUGAGGGAGAAAGUGGGGGAUCUUCGGACCUCACGCUAUCAGAUGAGCCUAGGUCGGAUUAGCUAGUUGGUGGGGUAAAGGCCUACCAAGGCGACGAUCCGUAACUGGUCUGAGAGGAUGAUCAGUCACACUGGAACUGAGACACGGUCCAGACUCCUACGGGAGGCAGCAGUGGGGAAUAUGGGACAAUGGGCGAAAGCCUGAUCCAGCCAUGCCGCGUGUGUGAAGAAGGUCUUCGGAUUGUAAAGCACUUUAAGUUGGGAGGAAGGGCAGUAAGUUAAUACCUUGCUGUUUUGACGUUACCAACAGAAUAAGCACCGGCUAACUUCGU